rnacentral:lncRNA from 1 species
AAAAAAAAAAAAAAAAAAAAAAAAAAAAAAAAAAAAAAAAAAAAAAAAAAAAAAAAAAAAAAAAAAAAAAAAAAAAAAAAAAAAAAAAAAAAAAAAAAAAAAAAAAAAAAAAAAAAAAAAACAAGACUUAAUUUAGUUUCAGAAUUCAUGAUAUAUUAGCACGUGUUUUAAAUGUGUUUAGCUUGCAUAUGAUACGCGC